GCGUCAGUAGUGUAGCGGGUUAGAACGCACGCCCCCGGAAAGCGUGAGAUGCGGGUUCGAGCCCCUCCUGAUGCG